AAGCAGGGGAUCGCAAGACCUUGCGCUUUUGGAGCGGCCGAUGCCUGAUUAGCUAGUUGGUGGGGUAAUGGCCUACCAAGGCGACGAUCAGUAGUUGGUCUGAGAGGACGACCAGCCACACUGGGACUGAGACACGGCCCAGACUCCUACGGGAGGCAGCAGUGGGGAAUUUUGGACAAUGGGCGAAAGCCUGAUCCAGCAAUGCCGCGUGAGUGAAGAAGGCCUUCGGGUUGUAAAGCUCUUUCAGUCGAGAAGAAAAGGUUGUGACUAAUAAUCACAACUCAUGACGGUAUCGACAGAAGAAGCACCGGCUAACUACGUGCCAGCAGCCGCGGUAAUACGUAGGGUGCGAGCGUUAAUCGGAAUUACUGGGCGUAAAGGGUGCGCAGGCGGCUUUGUAAGUCAGAUGUGAAAUCCCCGGGCUUAACCUGGGAAUUGCGUUUGAAACUACAAAGCUAGAGU
rnacentral:rRNA from 1 species